rnacentral:rRNA from 1 species
UACGGGGGGAGCAAGCGUUGUUCGGAUUUACUGGGCGUAAAGGGCGCGUAGGCGGCGCAACAAGUCACUUGUGAAAUCUCCGGGCUUAACCCGGAGCGGCCAAGUGAUACUGCCGGGCUAGAGUCCGGAAGAGGCGAGUGGAACUCCUGGUGUAGCGGUGGAAUGCGCAGAUAUCAGGAGGAACACCAAUGGCGAAGGCAGCACUCUGGGACGUGACUGACGCUGAGACGCGAAAGCGUGGGGAGCAAACAGG